AACUUUUGACAACGGCUCUCUUGGCUCUCGCAUCGAUGAAGAACGCAGCGAAAUGCGAUACGUAAUGUGAAUUGCAGAAUUCAGUGAAUCAUCGAAUCUUUGAACGCACCUUGCGCCCCUUGGCAUUCCGAGGGGCACACCCGUUUGAGUGUCGUGAAAUUCUCAAAACCUUUUCCUUUGCCGGAAAGGAUUUUGGACUUGGAGGCCUUUUGCUUGCUUCACCUCGAAGCGAGCACCUCCCAAAUUGAUUAGUGGUGUUUCCUUUGCCGAUCCUUGACGUGAUAAGAUGCUUCUACGUCUCGGCUUUCGGCACUGUGCCUCUGCUCCGAACCGUCUCCCUGACAACGAUGGUGUUCCGGUCACCGCCGAUUCGUCGGUGGGAGGCUUGACCCACAAAACGACCUUGACCUCAAAUCGGGUGAGACUACCCGCUGAACUUAAGCAUAUCAAUAAGCGGAGGCU
rnacentral:misc_RNA from 1 species